rnacentral:rRNA from 1 species
AGCGAACGCUGGCGGCAGGCCUAACACAUGCAAGUCGAGCGCCCCGCAAGGGGAGCGGCAGACGGGAGAGUAACACGUGGGAACGUACCCUUUGGUUCGGAACAACCCAGGGAAACUUGGGCUAAUACCGGAUACGUCCGAAAGGAGAAAGAUUUAUCGCCGAGGGAUCGGCCCGCGUCUGCUUAGCUGGUUGGUGGGGUAACGGCCCACCAAGGCGACGAUCAGUAGCUGGUCUGAGAGGAUGAUCAGCCUCACUGGGACUGAGACACGGCCCAGACUACUACGGGAGGCAGCAGUGGGGAAUAUUUGACAAUGGGCGCAAGCCUCAUCAAGCCAUGCCGCGUGGGUGAUGAAGGCCCUAGGGUUGUAAAGCCCUUUCGGCGGGGAAGAUAAUGACGGUACCCGCAGAAGAAGCCCCGGCUAACUUCGUACCAGCCGCCGCCGUAAAAC